CCUACGGGAGACAGCAGUGGGGGAUAUUGCACAAUGGGGGGAACCCUGAUGCAGCGACGCCGCGUGUGGGAAGACGGUCCUCUGGAUUGUAAACCACUGUCCCCAGGGACGAAAAUGACGGUACCUGGGGAGGAAGCUCCGGCUAACUACGUGCCAGCAGCCGCGGUAAUACGUAGGGAGCGAGCGUUGUCCGGAAUUACUGGGUGUAAAGGGAGCGUAGGCGGGGAUGCAAGUUCGGGGUCAAAAGUACCGGCUCAACUGGUACUGGCACUUAAAACUGCAGCUCGUGAGUGAAGUAGAGGCAGGCGGAAUUCCUAGUGUAGCGGUGAAAUGCGUAGAUAUUAGGAGGAACACCAGUGGCGAAGGCGGCCUGCUGGGCUUUUACUGACGCUGAGGCUCGAAAGUGUGGGGAGCAAACAGGAUUAGAUACCCGGGUAGUC
rnacentral:rRNA from 1 species